CCUACGGGGGGCUGCAGUGAGGAAUAUUGGUCAAUGGGCGCGAGCCUGAACCAGCCAAGUAGCGUGAAGGAUGACUGCCCUACGGGUUGUAAACUUCUUUUAUAAAGGGAUAAAAUGAGGCACGUGUGCCUUUUUGUAGGUACUUUAUGAAUAAGGAUCGGCUAACUCCGUGCCAGCAGCCGCGGUAAUACGGAGGAUCCGAGCGUUAUCCGGAUUUAUUGGGUUUAAAGGGGGCGUAGAUGGGUUGUUAAGUCAGUUGUGAAAGUUUGCGGCUUAACCGUGAAAUUGCAAUUGAUACUGGCAGCCUUGAGUACAGUUGAGGUAGGCGGAAUGCGUGGUGUAGCGGUGAAAUGCUUAGAUAUCACGCAGAACUCCGAUUGCGAAGGCAGCUUACUAAACUGCCACUGACAUUGAUGCUCGAAAGUGUGGGUAUCAAACAGGAUUAGAUACCCCAGUAGUC
rnacentral:rRNA from 1 species